rnacentral:lncRNA from 1 species
UCCAACUCGCGUUACUUCGAAUGAAUUCCGUUAGUUCGUCAUAUUUAUUAAUGAUUGUAUUUGGCUCGCUUGGUUCUCUUGUUGAAAAAUAAAAAUGAUGUUGCUUCAAUUCUUCCAAAGUAUUGUACUAAGUUGUCUUCUUAGUUUCAAGCUCAAGUUCAAGUAUUUCGAACUGAUAACAGAGGAGAAUAUGUGAAUAAUACUUUGAUGUGUUUCUUCC